rnacentral:rRNA from 1 species
GACGAACGCUGGCGGCGUGCUUAACACAUGCAAGUCGAGCGGUAAGGCCCUUUCGGGGGUACACGAGCGGCGAACGGGUCGAGUAACACGUGGGUGACCUGCCCUCAGCUCUGGGAUAAGCCUGGGAAACCGGGUCUAAUACUGGAUAUGACUCCAUGACGCAUGUUGUGGGGUGGAAAGCCUUGUGCGGCUGAGGAUGGGCCCGCGGCCUAUCAGCUUGUUGGUGGGGUGAUGGCCUACCAAGGCGACGACGGGUAGCCGGCCUGAGAGGGCGACCGGCCACACUGGGACUGAGACACGGCCCAGACUCCUACGGGAGGCAGCAGUGGGGAAUCUUGCGCAAUGGGCGAAAGCCUGACGCAGCGACGCCGCGUGAGGGAUGACGGCCUCGGUUGUAAC